rnacentral:rRNA from 1 species
CCUACGGGAGGCUGCAGUGGGGAAUAUUGGGCAAUGGGCGCAAGCCUGACCCAGCAACGCCGCGUGAAGGAAGAAGGCUCUCGGGUUGUAAACUUCUUUUAUCAGGGACGAAGCAAGUGACGGUACCUGAUGAAUAAGCCCCGGCUAACUACGUGCCAGCAGCCGCGGUCAUACGGAGGUUGCAAGCUGUAUCCGGCUUUACUGGGUGUAAAGGGCGGGUAGGCGGGUAAGGAAGUCAGAUGUGAAAACCAUGGGCUCAACCUGUGGCCUUCAUUUGAAACUGUUUUUCUUGAGUACUGGAGAGGCAGACGGAAUUCCUAGUGUAGCGGUGAAAUGCGUAGAUAUUAGGAGGAACACCAGUGGCGAAGGCGGUCUGCUGGACAGCAACUGACGCUGAGGCGCGAAAGCGUGGGGAGCAAACAGGAUUAGAUACCCGAGUAGUC